AACGAACGCUAGCGGCGUGCCUAACACAUGCAAGUCGAGCGAGAAAGGGCUUCGGCCUCAGUAAAGCGGCGCACGGGUGAGUAACACGUGGGUAAUCUACCCUUGAGCGGGGGAUAACGUUCCGAAAGGAGCGCUAAUACCGCAUAAGACCACGCUCUCGAAAGGGAGCGAGGUAAAAGUAGGCCUCUGAAUUCACGCUUACACUCGAGGAUGAGCCCGCGGCCCAUCAUGGUAGUUGGUAGGGUAAUGGCCUACCAAGCCGAAGACGGGUAGCUGGUCUUAGAGGAUGAUCAGCCACACUGGAACUGAGACACGGUCCAGACUCCUACGGGAGGCAGCAGUGGGGAAUAUUGCGCAAUGGGCGAAAGCCUGACGCAGCAACGCCGCGUGUGUGAUGAAGGCCUC
rnacentral:rRNA from 1 species